UGUGAAGACAGGGUGAAGUGGCAGCAGUGUCUCCGUUCUGGAUCAUGGAAGGUCUGCCAGACUCCAAACUUCAAACACUCCAUGAAUCGACUCCGCGGCCUGCUGAAUUCCCAGUCUUGCCUUCCCCUCUUCUAAGCAGCAAUUGUUGAAAUGUUGGCCAAAUUAAAAUACUGUCCUGCAGAUCUCAACAAACAAUAUGAAGUCUGGUUUAUUUCAACAAUUUGUGGUACCUUGACUUGGAAUUAUAUUGCUUAAUAGACAGAUAGUCGGAUGGAAUAUCCAAAAUUGGCAUCAAAACCCCUAGGCCCUUUGAAAUCACUCUUGGGGCCCUUCAUGGAGAGCAGCCUGACAGCCUGACUCUGGUCUAAGAUCAUGCCUUUCACUGACACAUCUUCUAGACUUACUCUCAGGAUGCACUUGAAACUCAAGGGAGCAGGACACUGCAAGAAAGCCCAGUGGACUGGACUUUCUAACGUCUGAGGAGACAGUGAAGCACUUGAAGAAAUCUCAGUGGGGGAGACCAGGAAUCUAAACGGCCACGUCAAAGUGCUUCAGCAAACCUGGGUCUCUUUCCAGGAUGGGUUAAACAUAAAAAGGAUGAGAGAAUCUUAACGACAUGAGAAAGACAAGACUCUCCUCCAGUGAAGUAUAAAUAGGCGCAUGGACUUCCUGCUGCCCCUCAGCACCCACCCACUUACCGGACAUUCAUCCACUAAAUUGUUACCAAACAUCAAGGGAGCGGGCAAGGCAUUCCUGUCAUAGGCAAGGGAGGUCCUCCCACGACCCUGGGGCUUUAGAUCGUGAAAAAGAAUUCUAAGUCCUGAAGCCAAGUGGAUUUUACCUUUUGAACAGACUUUAAUUUGUGGAGAUUAUCUUUUUAAUUUAAAUUUAAUUACUGGGUAGUGGUUUUACCAGCUGUGUUGAGGUUGGUCGCUUUUUGUGGUUACUACAGAUGCUGAUGAAGGCCAAGGGUUCAAAUACUGAGCCUUCCUUAGCACCCAGAAGGUGAGGGUCGCAAGAACUGUCACUUCAAUCCCAAAUAAUCCUACUCCUGUUGAGCCUUUUUGCUCUGCUCGGGCCUUUCCCAGGGGAUGAAAUCAGAAAACAAUUCAUUUACAGUGCUUUUUUAAAAAAGUUUUUUUUUUUUUGCUUUCUUCAAAGUUAUACUUGUACAUGAUUUAAAGAGUUAAAUGUUCCAACAAGACUUCCCAUUCCCUCAAGGCAACCACUUUCAACUUUUAGCUGAUUCUUCGGUAUUUACUAUCACAGAUCUAAAUGACACGUUCACAUUUCUACUUCUCGGCUUUUCAGUUAGCCAUUAUCUGUUGAUUUCCCAGUAUGGAAGAUAAGGCUUUAGCUUUCUUUUGCACACUCCUCUGCACUUGCACCACAUAUCUACACUUUCAGUCCUUAAAUCUGCUACAGUUAUAACUUGCUCAUCCUGCCCAAUCAGCAGGAUGUCAUUGAUGUAACAGAUUAAUGUGAUGUUCUGCAGGAUGUCCAGAAGGUCCAGAUCUCUUCAGGCUAUUUUAUGACAGAGGGAAGGAAUGUUAACAUAGCCCUGGGCCAUACAGUAAUUGUGUACUUUCGUGUUUCAUGGAAUACCAGUUGUUUCUGAUCCUUUCUUAUGACUGGAAUAGAAAAGAAUGCAUUCAC
rnacentral:lncRNA from 1 species